rnacentral:rRNA from 1 species
UGGCUCAGGAUGAACGCUAGCGACAGGCUUAACACAUGCAAGUCGAGGGGCAGCAUAGAAGUAGCAAUACUUGGUGGCGACCGGCGCACGGGUGAGUAACGCGUAUGCAACCUACCUAUCAGGAGGGGAAUAACCCGGCGAAAGUCGGACUAAUACCGCAUAAAACAGGGGCACCGCAUGGUGAUAUUUGUUAAAGAAAUUCGCUGAUAGAUGGGCAUGCGUUCCAUUAGGUAGUUGGUGAGGUAACGGCUCACCAAGCCGACGAUGGAUAGGGGAACUGAGAGGUUGGUCCCCCACACUGGUACUGAGACACGGACCAGACUCCUACGGGAGGCAGCAGUGAGGAAUAUUGGUCAAUGGGCGGGAGCCUGAACCAGCCAAGUCGCGUGAAAGGAAGAAGGAUCUAUGGUUCGUAAACUUCUUUUGCAGGGGAAUAAAGUGCAGGACGUGUCCUGUUUUGUAUGUACCCUGAGAAUAAGGAUCGGCUAACUCCGUGCCAGCCGCUGC